CAAGCAUCUGCAGAACUCGGAUAUACAAUAAUCCCAGAUAUUUGUGUACUGGGAGGGAGUAGACAAGACAGAGAAGUGACAGCUCUGGCAUCAAACAACCUGGGCUCCCUUUCUGCUUCCUUUGCCAAGUCCCGGGAGGAAAACUGUGGCCUCAGCAUCUAGGAUGGGCAAAUAGGAACUAAAGUCUUGAAUUCCCCAUUUUUAGGAGGGAACGUUUUGGAGGCUGCUCAGUGCUGUCCUGGGACGGCUCCUCAGCUGGAAGCUGGAAGAGACAGAUAAGCUCCGCCUUUAGAGAUCUGUGGGGGUUGCAGUUUGAGUUUAUCCCUUUCUGAGUCGACACUCUGGAUGAUUUCUCUGUGAUCACGAAUGGUUUCCUGGUCGCCAGCUCUGCCUCUAUGGAUUUACUGCCUGGAGUAAGAGAAAGCUUUUCCUGGAAAAAAAAAAAAAAAAUGGGUCAUUCUCUAGGAGCUUUGUAAUCCAAGAUGCCUAACAGAGGAGUCUGUUCAGUUCUUCCCUCUGUAGAGAGGUUGCAAAAGCAAACUGCAGUAGAAGAAAUUAAAAGAGGAAGAAUGUCUUUGGGACACUGGAGGAAAUAGGUGAGGAGUGUAUAAUUACAUAAGAACAACACUUACCCUUCAAGAAUGAUAAUGAAAUGGAUUGUAUUCAAGUGAACAAAAGCCAAGAUAAUUUACCUCCAAAACAUCUUGAGAAGCCAGGUGUGGUGCACACCUGUAACCCCAGCACUUGAGAAAUGGGGGACCAGGGGUUCAAGAGACAAAACAAAGCAAGCAGAAAAGAGUCCUUAGCUGGCUGAGGAUGCAGUAAAGUGUUUUGUCAAGCAGCACCAACAGGCAGAAAACCCAAAGAUCUUCAGUGAAGAAGCAUCUUCAGGAAAUCCAUGUGUAUGGGAAAUAAGGAAGGUGCAGGCUGGGGAGGUGGCUCAGUUGGUAAAAAGCCUGCCACACAAGCAUAAGAAGCUGAGUUAGGAUCGAAACACCCACAUAAAAGCCAGUCAUGGAUGUUUGUGUCAGUAAUUGAAUAGGGAGCACUGGGGUAGAGACAGGAGACCCCCCAGAACUCACUGGACAGCCAGUGUGGAUGAAUAGUGAGCACCAGGUUCAAUGAGAUACCCUGUCUCUAAAAAUAAGGUGCAAUAAAGGACAUAAUGUUGAAAUUCUGUUCUCCCUGACCAUGUAUUCUGACAAUCACACACUGACACAUAAAAUCACACACACACACACAUAUAUAUGCAUGAACAUAUAUAUACACACAUUAAAUUAAGAAAAAUGAGGAAAAGCAUUCAGAAGAGAG
rnacentral:lncRNA from 1 species